rnacentral:rRNA from 1 species
GACGAACGCUGGCGGCGUGCUUAACACAUGCAAGUCGAACGGAAAGGCCCUGCUUUUGUGGGGUGCUCGAGUGGCGAGCGGGUGAGUAACACGUGAGUAACCUGCCUUGACUUUGGGAUAACUUCAGGAAACUGGGGCUAAUACCGGAUAGGAGCUCCUGCUGCAUGGUGGGGGUUGGAAAGUUUCGGCGGUUGGGGAUGGACUCGCGGCUUAUCAGCUUGUUGGUGGGGUAGUGGCUUACCAAGGCUUUGACGGGUAGCCGGCCUGAGAGGGUGACCGGCCACAUUGGGACUGAGAUACGGUCCGA